CCUGAUCCAGCCAUUCCGCGUGCAGGAUGAAGGCCCUCGGGUUGUAAACUGCUUUUGUACGGAACGAAAAGGCCUGGGUUAAUACCUCGGGCUCAUGACGGUACCGUAAGAAUAAGCACCGGCUAACUACGUGCCAGCAGCCGCGGUAAUACGUAGGGUGCAAGCGUUAAUCGGAAUUACUGGGCGUAAAGCGUGCGCAGGCGGUGAUGUAAGACAGGUGUGAAAUCCCCGGGCUUAACCUGGGAACUGCAUUUGUGACUGCAUCGCUGGAGUGCGGCAGAGGGGGAUGGAAUUCCGCGUGUAGCAGUGAAAUGCGUAGAUAUGCGGAGGAACACCGAUGGCGAAGGCAAUCCCCUGGGCCUGCACUGACGCUCAUGCACGAAAGCGUGGGGAGCAAACAGGAUUAGAUACCCUGGUAGUCCACGCCCUAAACGAUGUCAACUGGUUGUUGGGUCUUCACUGACUCAGUAACGAAGCUAACGCGUGAAGUUGACCGCCUGGGGAGACGGCCGCAAGGUUGAAACUCAA
rnacentral:rRNA from 1 species